CUUGUUCCUUAAAUAGGGACUAGUAUGAACGGCAUCACGAGGGUUAUUCUGUCUCCCCCUUUUAAUCCAUGAAACUGAUCUCCCCGUGAAAAAGCGAGGAUAUUAAUAUUAGACGAGAAGACCCCAUGGAGCUUUAAACUCAGAAACACCUGCCAAUUUUUAACCAAAUUAAUCAAGCUUUCCUGAUUUCUAGUUUUCGGUUGGGGUGACCACGGAGCACAACACAACCUCCUCGAUGAACGGAACUAUUUUCCUUAUUUAAGAACUACAGUUCUAAAAAUCAACACAUUAACAAAAAUUGAUCCAAAUUAAUUUGAUCAACGAACCAAGUUACCCUGGGGAUAACAGCGCAAUCCAUUUCAAGAGCCCAUAUCGACAAAUGGGUUUACGACCUCGAUGUUGGAUCAGGGUAUCCCAGUGGUGCAACCGCUACUAAAGGUUCGUUUGUUCAACGAUUAAAACCCU
rnacentral:rRNA from 1 species